AGCAGCCGCGGUAAUUCCAGCUCCAAUAGCGUAUAUUAAAGUUGUUGCAGUUAAAAAGCUCGUAGUUGAAUUUCGGGAUCAAUAUGUCGGUCGUGCCAUUGGUACGUACUGGUAUCAUUGAUUUCUCCCUUCUGACGAACCAUGAUGUCAUUAAUUUGGUGUUAUGGGGAGUUAGGACUGUUACUUUGAAAAAAUUAGAGUGUUUAAAGCAGGCAUUAGCUUGAAUACAUUAGCAUGGAAUAAUGAAAUAGGACGUUUGACCCUAUUUUGUUGGUUUCUAGGAUCGACGUAAUGAUUAAUAGGGAUAGUUGGGGGCAUUAGUAUUCAAUUGUCAGAGGUGAAAUUCUUGGAUUUAUUGAAGACUAACUACUGCGAAAGCAUUUGCCAAGGAUGUUUUCAUUAAUCAAGAACGAAAGUUAGGGGAUCGAAGACGAUCAGAUACCGUCGUAGUCUAAACCAUAAACUAUGCC
rnacentral:rRNA from 1 species